rnacentral:rRNA from 1 species
CGAAAGCGUGGGGAGCAAACAGGAUUAGAUCCCCUGGUAGUCCACGCCGUAAACGAUGAAUGCUAGUCGUCAGGGGGCAUGCCCUUUGGUGACGCAGCUAACGCAUUAAGCAUUCCGCCUGGGAAGUACGGCCGCAAGGCUAAAACUCAAAGGAAUUGACGGGGGCCCGCACAAGCGGCGGAGCAUGCGGAUUAAUUCGAUGCAACGCGAAGAACCUUACCUGGGCUUGACAUAUACAGGAUCGCGCCAGAGAUGGUGUUUCCCUUGUGGCUUGUAUACAGGUGGUGCAUGGUUGUCGUCAGCUCGUGUCGUGAGAUGUUGGGUUAAGUCCCGUAACGAGCGCAACCCUUGUCCUUAGUUACCAGCACGUU